ACACAACACAGCUGAUAGGACACACCAUCCAGCUCUGCACAGGAGAAGUUAAUAAUCAAACUUAGCUCUUCCAGACUCAUGCAUCCUUUCAUAAUUUCACAUUUCACUUGCAAAUAUCCAGAAGCAUGCCCAUCAGUUGAUCACAGCUCACACGAUCAAGACCUUUAAUUUUUGCAGACUCCGAUUUUAGAUUCCUUGUCUGCAGACUUGUUGGCAUGCUGACCGCACGGCUCAGUUUUGGGAUUAUGUCAACGCCUUCAGCAGAUGCUAUUGCAUUACAUAAAGAGAUAUGCCAUGCUGGAGAGCUUCCACUCACUCCUAAUGUGUGCAUUCUGGCCACGGGCAACAACUUCACAUCCAGUCCUAUCACUGACAUGGCAACCAAGGAUUCUGGGAGUGUUCCCAAAGCUGCGAUCCAUUACUUGUCAAAGUUUGUAUGCAGGGUAGGCUCACCUCUUUUCUGGACACACCUGUCAGCCAAAAGCCAUUGGAAUAUAUAUAGCAGAGUAUACCCACUUCCUCCUCAGUAACCUACCCAUCUACCUAGUCUGAUGUCCCAGUGGAGGCACAGCAGGUUGUGUGAUGGCAGAGAGGAACAGGACGGAGCAGCUAUUUUUACCUGAAGCCCAGGAGUGAGCUCAACACAGAAGGUGAAGCGGGAGGAGAGUGGAAUUUGG